GGGUCAGUAGGUUGGUCGUGCCACCGGUACGUACUGGUCUCACUGAUUCCUCCUUCCUGAAGAACCGUAAUGCCAUUAAUUUGGUGUUGCGGGGAAACAGGACUGUUACCUUGAAAAAAUUAGAGUAUUUAAAGCAAGCUAACGCUUGAAUACAUUAGCAUGGAAUAAUGAAAUAGGACGAUCGAUCCUAUUUUGUUGGUUUCUAGGAUUGACGUA
rnacentral:rRNA from 1 species